rnacentral:lncRNA from 1 species
AAAAAUGCAGUGGUGGCCAAGGAAAGAUUGCGACAAAAUUGAUCAUAAACCAAUACUUUGAGCCAUAUCCUCCAUUUAAUCUACCGCCGCUUUCUUGGUACAUCCGAGGGAACACCAUCAAAACCUCCAAAAAUUUGCUCAAUGCACUUCAGGACACGGCUAAGAUUAUACGAAGUACGAAAGGUUGAGUUGAGCUGCCCGAAGAAUAUGCCAGAUUGAGACGUCAAAUGAGACUUUCUUAGUUUUAUAUUUUAUUAGUGUUUAUAAACAAAAUAUAGAUGAAGUUUUUAUAGUUAAAAUAAAAUUUGUUAGUAAUUUUCAGUUAUAACACUUUUUUGAAAAAGUCAGUUAUAAUACUUUCAGGACAUUAUGUUUGAAUUUGAAAACUUCUUUAAAAGAUCGUACAUUCGUAUGUAUUCAAACACAAUUAGUGAUAAUUUGUUUAUCUAGCUAAAGAUUUUUCGACGAAUAAUAAGACAAAAAAUAUAAAGUUUAUUGAAAUCCUUAAUUUUUGAAAAAUAGAAAAUUGUCAUCAAACAUACAAAAAUUGUUUAUCACGUAUUAUUGACUAUAGGUAACCGCAGCUGAUUUUUUUUUUUAACUGAGAUUACUUAAAAUUAUUUACAAUCUAACAUGUCGCCAGAAAGAUUAAUAAGUGUGUUGGAUUUGUUAUCAGUUGAUACAACAAUAGUUCAAAUUUGAUUACAUAAGUUUAUUGAAUAAUUGUGGAAGAACAAAAUACAAGAAAAUAUAUAUUUUAUUGUUUUAAAUUUAAUGUCCUUUAUAACCGUUGAUGAGAUUGGAUUAUUUGAAAAAAAUAUAUGUUUAAUAAUUCUAGAAAAAAAUAUAUAAAAAGGUAUAGUUUGUAAAUUCCCUUAGGUAAUGUAAACCGAUAGAUCGACACUAACGAACUACGGAAUAAACCUACGUGAAGACAUGAAAGAAACAAACAUGGAAAACACUAGUUUUUUUUUCAAAAAAAAAACACUAGUUUUGUUCAGUGAACAUCCACAAAUAAACUAUUCUUAAACACAUGAAUGAAAAUUACGGGCUUAAUUAUUAAUCGACUUUUAAAAUGUGUCUGGUCCAUUAAUAUUCCAAAAUUUUAAAAGGGACGCUAAAGAUAUUUUUUGAAAAAUGUUAAAUUAUCAUUAAAAAGAGAAUUUUCUACAACUUUUUUUUUAUAAUGCUCUAUCGACUGAUCCGGUCAGCUUUCAGAAAAACGUACUUUAUACUAUAUAUCUAUCACACCAUAUGAUCUAAGUUUGAAGUACUUUUCGACUAAAGUCAAAGAGGGACCGAUCAUCUGUUACAGCCAACCAUAUUAAUCACUUGGAUUCAAAAUUAAAUUAGUUCUGAGAGGAAUCGAGCUCAUGGUACACACUUGUGUGAUCUCAUUUCUCAAAUUGUGUGACUCUGUUCCCGUGUGACUUUGUUUCUCAACUUGUGUGAUUCUAUUUCUCUACUCGUGUCUAUUCCCGCAAAUCUUCUACUUCAACCAUAUUUAAUGAUCGAAAUACGGUUACGGACGCCUUUGUCAAUGAACAUUAGGAGAGUUGCACAGUUCUUAUUACUAUUCUUUUUGUUCCAUUUACUUUAGUUCGACGUUACCGGGUCGGGUUGGGUUGGAUCGAAGAAUCCAAAAAAUAACAUUUGAAAUCUCCGGUGUCAAACCCAGGAAUCAAGGAAGGAAGAACUAAAAUUUUGUAAGCUUUGGCGAUUUGUAAAAUUUUAGGUUUAUAUAAAAAGAAAUGUGGAUCAUAUAUUUUUGGGUUUUAAAUGAAAAAACCUUUCAUUUAAAUAAAAUGCAAGAAUAAAAAAUUUCACCUGGGUCGGAUCGAAGAAUCUAAAAAAUAUCAUUUGAAACUCGGGUCAGAUUGUGCGGUAACCGGGAAUCAGGGAAGGAGUGACAUUCACAAUAAAUAAUAUCAAAGGAGGGAGGGCACAGGAGACGUGCCUACGCUCACUCACAGUAAUUGCCACACCCUAACUUCUCUGUCAAGUCAGGUUUAGAAAAUCUCUGCUUUAAUCUCUCUGUUCAUCUCUAUGCUCUGCUAUGUAACUUAUCAGAGCCGGGCCUGGAUACAAGCCCAUCAAGCAUUUGCUUGGGGGCCGAUCAGUAUUUAAAAUAACUUGGGGCCAAUUUUUCAAUUGCUUAGGCAGCAGAGAUGGUGAAGUUUCUGAUAUUUGAGUUAAACUGAUUUGCGUCCCGGAUUCGAAGGGCGACUAUUGCGUUUUUUGUACCAUAUUUUAAUACGAAAAUAAAACUGACUUUUUUAUUUUUUCCAAAAAUAAAACUUUACUUAUAAAAAAAGGAAAUUUUAUACAAUAAAUGAGAGUUUUCUCUCUUCUUAGGCCUCCACAUCAUCAAGAAGGAGAGAACAAUUAAGGACACGUGUCCAUCUUUUAUUUCCGCAAGCCAGUUUUCUUGACUUCAAUUUGGGCCAUUUAUGUUUCUGUAGAAAUGACAAGGCCCAAUCUCUCAUUUGACCAAAAAAGUCCUAACACGUCUCCUUCACUUUGUUUGUUCGUUUCGAUCUGAGGAACCCUGUCUGUUUCGAUUCCUUUCCCCAGCUGAGAAAUGGCAAUCGUUAUGGAAUUGGAACCUCAAUACCCACUAAUCUGGUUAUGGUCAAGAAAGGUGGAGCGUCGAUGGGUAGUGAUCUGGUCCUGGCUUGAUGGAAAGGUACUGAGACAUUUCCUUUUCUCAAUUAUCGAUCCCUAUAUUGCUAUCCCAUUAUCCCGUUCUUUUUUUUUUUUUUGCGCAACUCCUUCCUUUUUCUAUGAUCAUACUUCUUUCUCAGUGUUUAUAUUGUUGAUUUUGCUAGAGAUUUCGAUGUCAUGUUGUUGUGGAGCUCUAUUUCUCUGAGCUUAAGGCUAGCCGUUGUAGGAAGGUUGUGGUGACGAGGCUUCUUAUGUUUUUGGAAACUUGAAUUAUUAAGAAAUUCUGUUCUCGGAAGCUGGAAAUAAUAAGAGAUUGGAGAGUUGAUGGGCGUGGAUCUGCUAAUGGUCAAUCGAAAGGUAAUUAUUCUUACUGUCUACUUCGAUUUAAAAACCUAUACACUUUCUGGAUUAUUCUUCUUACAAGUGUUCUUAUUUGGCCGCAGUCAACAAAGCAACAUAGCUUCUGCUCAGGCUCUGAGCCACCGAUACCAUCGCUAUGUACAUCAUGUACCUUAUGGCCGUCACGACCCUUCGGUAUUUGAACUGAAAUACUGAUGAUAUGGGUCAGAUGUACGAGCUAUACUUCGAGCUUACUAUUCAGCUUCAUGCAAUUUGAUGGGGUUAGUUCUUUCUUUUCUUUUGUGUGUAUUCACAUGCCGAUCCUGAAGCUGGAUUUAAAUCUCUAGAUCAGAUUUAAAUUUCUAUGUCUUAACUAAGAAAGUUCUAUUUGGAAAAAUUCAUGAUUUUGUAAAUACCAUGCUUUCUGAAAUUUUGUUACUAUUUAUUAGCUCCUAGACUCUCCUUAUACCAUUACAUAAACGAUGCGAUGAUGUGUGUACGCCCAUGUGUUUUCGGUUUUCUCUUUCGGAUUCUCAAUGAUGAUUCAUGAAGAUUACGCGUGACUUCAAAUAUGUGUUUUUUGAAUUGGUAAUUAUUGUGAAAACCUUUGGUCGGAACAUGAAUUUAUGAAUUUUGUUGCGUUCUAUUAGCUCUUUGACUCGCUCUCUAUAGCAUCCCAUAAAUGAUGAGAUGAUGUGUGUUUACACUCCCCUAUGUUCUUGAUGCUCUCUUUUUGAUUCCCGAUGGAUAGUUCAUCAAGAUAUAUGUGUUUGAUUUCAUGUAUAUGUUUAUAGGAUUGCAACAUUUAGAUUGCCACUGAUGGGAACAUGAAAGUAUAAUAUUUUUAGUAGCGUUAUAUUAGCUCUUUGACUAUACUUUUCAGAUGCAAUACUUACUGUUGUGGAUCAGUGUGGAGAAGCAGACUCUUAUUUCUCAAAUCUGCUAAACUUUUUCCCAACGUACCUGUAAGUAUUAUUUCCCCGCAUACUCUACUAUCAAUUUGUUUUUUCUUCUUAAACUUGAUCAGCUUAGUUGAUGACAACCAACAAUCUGUCUGGCCCUUUUAUCUAGGAUUGUUCGGCCUUGAAUCUGCUUGCAUCAAAAGCCUUUGACCUUCCUCAUCCUACCAAGGGCCGAUCAUCUUCGCAGGUAUCUUAUUUACGCGUUACUGCUCUCCGAUGAGGCGAUGACCAUACAGCACACUGGAAACAAAAAUAUCAAGCCUCUAAAUGUGUCCCAAAUCUCACUACCGGCCUACCCUCUACAGAUAUAGCACGGUAUUCAACUGUACUGCUCUCAACUCUCUUAAUUUGUGCUUACAGUCAUCUUUCAUGGUUUUGAUCUUUGGUUAUAGACUCAAGUCGGAGCGUCUUAGAGACCAUGGAGAAGAAGGAACAAAUGCAGUUUCUUAUGAACCUGCUGCAGACAAGACAAGACACCAAGGAGAAACGCUUCGUUGAACCCCUUUUGAUAUGCAAGAGCCCGCACAAUACUCACUCAUUUCUGUUUUCAAUGAUUAUUCCAAUAGAGGAGAAACAAUUAACACAAAACGUGUGUUGGUUGUUUAGUCUUCAUGCGAGAUAUUCAUGUGAAAUACUAGCUUCUCUUUCACUUUUUUGGUGCGACGAGUAUGCUGUGAUUAAAUUAUUUGAUUGUGUUGAUUACUUGAUUUUGUUGAGCAUGAAAUUUACUUGCAUAAUUGUAAUAUGAUGCUUGAUUUGUCGUGAUUCCUUUUCUUUUCUGUAAGGUAGCCAAUAGGAAAAUUCAAAACCUCAAUCUUUAAGACAAUGACCACUGUCGGGCAUGUAAUAUUUGUUACAAAUUUUCCAACAAUCAAGGUUGCACCAAAACAAGUCCAGGUGGCCACAAAUUUUGAAAACCAAAAAUUAAAUACCAUUCAUCUCUUUUUAUUUUUAUUAUGUUUAUUUUACUCCAAGUUAGAUUGCAGCUUAGAUUUUAUCGGUCUUUAGACAAGGAACAUGGCUGGAUAUAUGCGAAGUAAUUGUGUGAAUAUAUCAAAUGAUCUUAUAUAAUAACUGACCAAUUUGGCUACUAUACUUUCUAAACUAAAUUAUUUAAUUAUUGAACAAUUUCCAAAAUAUAAAAGUUAAAAACAUCAUAUAUGCUACCAAUAUAAUAAAACAAUAUCACAAAAUAACAAAAGAAUAAAAACAAAUAUAAUUACUAACACAAAUCAUUCUAUUAAAUAAUUUAAAAUAAUAACAAUAAUAGAAAAUCCGGCGCGUAGCGCCGGCCAACCCCUAGUAUAGCAUAAAAAGGAAAUAAGAUAAUGAUCACGAUUAAUUAUAUAAAUUCCUAAAAAAAAAUCAGUUUUCAAAACCUAAUCGUUUGUUUUUUUUUGGUAAACAUGUUAAGAUUGCAUUACCAAUUUUUUGAGUUUGAGACAGACGGUACAAAGAGAUACUAGUAGCGGAAAAUACAAACACCGAAAUGAAACUACUAACACAACAACAAAAAACAGUAAUGAAAAACACGAUUGAGAACCGAAACCGAAAGGCAGAGGAGAGAACACUCGAGAGAACUUGAGAGGGUCGCCAAGAGCACGCAAAACCUAAUCGUUUGUUUUCUAACUAUUCUCUUAAUUCUCAAUUAACAAAGUCACGAAGUCUUUUGUUUUGCCUACAGGCUACAGGCUACGAACCAUUGUCCAUUGGUAAAGCUUUGGUUGAUUAUACAUACUUGAUAGAUGAGUUUGCAAGUAAAACUGCAAGAAGAGCUAUAUUUCAAAAAUAAUGUAAUAUUAUGUUUGUUUUUUGAUAUUGUUUGACAUUAUUAUUUUAAGUUAUUUUUACAUUGAGUUGCAGGGCCAAUUUUUUUUUAGGACAACAGGGGCCAAUUUUUUUCCUUCGCUUCUAGUCUUGUAAAUGUCAGGCACGGCCCUGUAACUUAUGCUUGAAAAUGUGGAUGGGUUAUUAUAAGCACAAGAUCCUAGUAAAGGUUACUCUGGUCCCGGUGGUUCAACUUUCAUCUAUGGUCAUCACAUGAAAUCUAGUGAAUCUGCUAUCAUCCGUAUGUAAAGCCUCUUGAGAAAGUAACCCUAAUAAAUUACGUAUUGUUGAUUCAAGGACUGUACUUAAAAAGGAACAUGCUUUUUGAUGGGUCUCCUCUUUCCUCAGAAAGGUCUCGCUUGUACGUCAUGUAAUUCAUGAGAGUUGAGCUGCCAUGCAUAAAACUUAACGUACACUAUUCUCUCAAGAUGCAGAAUAUACUAUUCCACAAACCAUAUAAUAUACACAAGCUUUAGAUCGUCAUUUACUUUUGCUCUAAUCAGUUCUGCUAGGCUAAACUUUCGAACAGAAAAUGGGUGUAUUCCCUGGAUUUGGUAGCUGGAUCAAUCAGAACAGUCAACAGCCUCUUAAGGUCAGCCUUAUAUCACCAAUCAUAGGAGCUGAUCGAUGAAGCCAAAUAAAUAUAAAACACAUUUUUAUUGUUUGUUCAUGUAGGCCGAGUCCAAGAGAUCUGAAAAUGGCGAAUCUAAGUCGGCGUCAGAGAAAGACACUAAUAAUGCUCCUGCUAAGAAGAAGGAGGAGGUGGUAUAUUAUGAUGAAAAAGAGGACACGAGACAAGAAGGACUUUGGCAUGAAGCAGAGAAGAAGCAUCCAUGGCAUAAUCCACCUCCCAAGAUCAAGGUAAGAAAAAAACCACUCUAACACAAUACAAUACCCAAAAAAAAAUUGCCUUGGUAAAAUCAAUAACAAGAUCCUUAAGUUUUCUUAUAUUUUUGAUCUUUGAAGGUGACAAAUAAGAAGGGUCUUUACCAUAUGAACAUAGAAUUGACCGUGGGAACGACUCCUAAUAUUGUCUACUACGUGUUGACUGAAAGCAAUCCGUUUUUCGAUAGGAAGAAGUGGCGCCACCUAAUGGUUGUCUUUGCUGAUCAUUAUAUGAUUCGAAUGUGGUAUUAAAUAUAGUCAAUACUUGAUAUGUUUAUCUUUUUGUUAUCAAGAAAAACACAUCAAGAAAGGUUUUGAAGGAGAAUGGUCCGAGGCGGAUCGUCAUGGUAGAGAAAGCUGUGGCUUAUGACUUCCUUUCGCUGACGACUAUAUCUAUCCCGAUACACCUUACUAUGGAAGAAAACAGAAAAGAUCUUACGGUAACAAGCUUUCUCUCACAAGAAUCAACAACACCUUUGUGUUUGUAUUGAUGAAACCUAACUAAUUCAGCUUAUUGGACAGACAAAAUAUAAGAAAGAGAAAGUAUUGUUCAUGAAAGAGUUCCACGGCAACUAUAAAGUGGAGCCUAUAUAUGUAGAUCAAGAACGGUUGUGCAAAAAGAGGCUACCAAAGAGUCCAGAAGAAUAUAAAAAAUGUAGCGGUGGCCAAGGAAGGAUUGGGUCAAAAUUAACAAUAAACCAUUACUUCCAACCAUAUCCUCCAUUUAGUCUACCUCCGCUUUCUUGGUUCAUCCGUGGGAUCACCAUCAAAACCUCCAAAAAAUUGCUCAACUUGCUUCAGGACAUGGCUUUUUCUUUACGACAAGCAGGGCCACCCUCAGAAUAAGCCAUCAAAGCGAGAGGAAACGAUGUUGUUGAACUACAUAAUUUUUAGA